UGUACCCUCCAAUGCUCGUAUUGGAGACACUCACUUAGAUUUCCUCGCCGUCAAAGGGAGAAAUUGUAGCGAGUACAAGUUACUGAACUGCACCUUCGAAAAUGUUGCUCUUGGUGAAAAGGAUACGUGUGACGGGAUUACAGCUCAUUGCAAGCUUAAAUCUCUUUCCAAGACUACAUACUGGAUAAACGACACAAGGUCGGACUGCAAGCUAAAUAAGAUAAGCAACCGUACCC